rnacentral:rRNA from 1 species
AACGAACGCUGGCGGCAUGCCUAACACAUGCAAGUCGAACGAGACCUUCGGGUCUAGUGGCGCACGGGUGCGUAACGCGUGGGAACCUGCCCUUAGGUUCGGAAUAACUCCCCGAAAGGGGUGCUAAUUCCGGAUAAUGUCUUCGGACCAAAGAUUUAUCGCCUUUGGAUGGGCCCGCGUUGGAUUAGCUAGUUGGUAGGGUAAAAGCCUACCGAGGCGACGAUCCAUAGCUGGUCUGAGAGGAUGAUCAGCCACACUGGGACUGAGACACGGCCCAGACUCCUACGGGAGGCAGCAGUGGGGAAUAUUGGACAAUGGGCGAAAGACUGAUCCAGCAAUGCCGCGUGAGUGAUGAAGGCCUUAGGGUUGUAAAGCUCUUUUACCCGGGAUGAUAAUGACAGUACCGGGAGAAUAAGCUCCGGCUAACUCCGUG